AAUUGAAUUGUGAAAUCAAAAUUGUGAAUCGCAUCAUGAGUUGAGUGAACCGUUACAUCCCUAGUGUCUUGAAAAGUAGUUUGACCAACUAGCAGUUGCCAAGAGGAAAUCAGUCUUACUUUUCCAAUACAAAUAAGACCACUCUACCUUUUCAUAACAAAUUAAAAAGUUAUGACCAGUCUUGAAGAAAAAAAAUUUGAUGACUAACUUUUUAAGACUAGUCUAAACAGUUUAUGUGUGUGAGCGUGUGGUGAGGAGCGUGUAUUGUGUGUGUGUGCGUGGGGUGAGGAGCGUGUAUUGUGUGUGUGAGCGUGUGGUGAGGAGCCUGUAUUGUGUGUGUGAGCGUGUGGUGAGGAGCGUGUAUUGUGUGUGUGUGCGUGUGGUGAGGAGCGUGUAUUGUGUGUGUGAGCGUGUGGUGAGGAGCGUGUAUUGUGUGUGUGAGCGUGUGGUAAGGAGCCUGUAUUGUGUGUGUGAGUGUGUGGUGUGGAGCGUGUAUUGUGUGAGCGUGUGGUAAGGAGCCUGUAUUGUGUGUGUGAGCGUGUGGUGUGGAGCGUGUAUUGUGUGUGUGAGCGUGUGGUGAGGAGCGUGUAUUGUGUGUGUGAGCGUGUGGUGUGGAGCGUGUAUUGUGUGUGUGAGUGUGUGGUGAGGAGCGUGUAUUGUGUGUGUGAGCGUGUGGUGAGGAGCGUGUAUUGUGUGUGUGAGCGUGUGGUGAGGAGCCUGUAUUGUGUGUGUGAGCGUGUGGUGAGGAGCCUGUAUUGUGUGUGUGAGCGUGUGGUGAGGAGCGUGUAUUGUGUGUGUGAGCGUGUGGUGAGGAGCGUGUAUUGUGUGUGUGAGCGUGUGGUAAGGAGCCUGUAUUGUGUGUGUGAGCGUGUGGUUGGAGCCUGUAUUGUGUGUGUGAGCGUGUGGUGAGGAGCCUGUAUUGUGUGUGUGAGCGUGUGGUGAGGAGCGUGUAUUGUGUGUGUGAGCGUGUGGUGAGGAGCCUGUAUUGUGUGUGUGAGCGUGUGGUGAGGAGCGUGUAUUGUGUGUGUGAGCGUGUGGUAAGGAGCCUGUAUUGUGUGUGUGAGCGUGUGGUGAGGAGCGUGUAUUGUGUGUGUGAGCGUGUGGUGAGGAGCGUGUAUUGUGUGUGUGAGCGUGUGGUGUGGAGCGUGUAUUGUGUGUGUGAGAGUGUGGUGAGGAGCGUGUAUUGUGUGUGUGAGCGUGUGGUGAGGAGCGUGUAUUGUGUGUGUGAGCGUGUGGUGAGGAGCGUAUAUUGUGUGUGGCGUACAUGUUUGAGAAGGGCCAGGAUGUAGAGCGGGAGCAGACGCAGGCAGGCGGGGGUCAGCAGGCCGGGCUGAGGGACGGUCAGCACAGAGGAGCGGUAGGAUGCCAGCGAGUCGAUUGCAGCGUUGAUCAGAGCGUCACGAGCAUCACUCAGACUCGCCGACACACAGCGAUCCACGGCUGAACCACAAACACACAUCAGAACAAACACAGAUCAGAACAAACACACAUCAGAACAAACACAC
ensembl:lncRNA